rnacentral:rRNA from 1 species
UAAAACAUAGCGUUAAUGCACUAGAUCCCAUUAGAAAUUUGUAGUUAAGCGUGCUCGGGAUAGAGUAGUACUAGGAUGGGUGAUUGCCCGAGAAGUCCUAGUGUUUUAC